rnacentral:rRNA from 1 species
UAAGGAAUAUUGGUCAAUGGGCGCAAGCCUGAACCAGCCAUGCCGCGUGCAGGAAGACGGCCCUACGGGUUGUAAACUGCUUUUGCAGGGGAAUAAACCCCGGUACGUGUACCGGGCUGAAUGUACUCUGAGAAUAAGGAUCGGCUAACUCCGUGCCAGCAGCCGCGGUAAUACGGAGGAUCCAAGCGUUAUCCGGAUUUAUUGGGUUUAAAGGGUGCGUAGGCGGCCUAUUAAGUCAGGGGUGAAAGACGGUAGCUUAACUAUCGCAGUGCCUUUGAUACUGAAGAGCUUGAAUACACUAGAGGUAGGCGGAAUGUGACAAGUAGCGGUGAAAUGCAUAGAUAUGUCACAGAACACCAAUUGCGAAGGCAGCUUACUAUGGUGUGAUUGACGCUGAGGCACGAAAGCGUGGGGAUCAAACAGGAUUAGAUACCCGUGUAGUCC